ensembl:lncRNA GNAS-AS1 GNAS antisense RNA 1
GAAGAGGUGCUGCUGGGGUGGUUGGAAGCCGGUGGGGGGCGGGUGUAUGGCGGCUAGGCCUGGAAGACCACGAGGACCGCUAGCGCCGUGGGGUCACUCUUCCUCAUGCCACAGGUUGCCGAGCCUCGGGGGAGAGGUGGGGUCCCAGGGGCCAACCCUUGGGUGUGUUGAUGGCGGCAGGCUAACCCAGCCAACGGGGUGCCACUGCCGGGCAAGGUGAGGAGCAAGAAGAUUUCCAGGGCUGGGAGGUAGAGGGCCAGGACCCCAAGGAGAGGGCUUACUGCGAGGAGCAGCCCAGGAUGGAUAAGGAGUUGAGGCCCCAGGGAUGCUGAGCCUGCACAAGUGGAAGUGACUGGCUACCAGACUCUGAAAAACCUAAGUCCUUUAGACUUCAGUGUGCUGAAAGUUCUCCCAUUGAGAGCACUUAUGCAGUUGGGUGAACUAUCUGCAUGAAAGUGACAUUUGCUCAUCUGUCUUUCUCGCUGAAGUCAUCGUCUAAAGGAUAUGUUGAAGCCGACCUCUUCCUCCCCAAAGAGAGCGUGUCAGGA